rnacentral:rRNA from 1 species
UACGUAGGGAGCAAGCGUUGUCCGGAAUCAUUGGGCGUAAAGCGCGCGUAGGUGGCCUCAUAAGUCCGUUGUGAAAGUCCAGGGCUCAACCCUGGGAUGCCGGUGGAUACUGUCGAGCUCGAGUCCGGAAGAGGCGAGUGGAAUUCCUGGUGUAGCGGUGAAAUGCGCAGAUAUCAGGAAGAACACCCGUGGCGAAGGCGGCUCUCUGGGACGGUACUGACGCUGAGACGCGAAAGCGUGGGGAGCGAACAGG